rnacentral:rRNA from 1 species
CCUACUUGGAUAACUGUGGUAAUUCUAGAGCUAAUACAUGCACCAAAGCUCUGACCUUGCGGGAAGAGUGCAUUUAUUAGAACAAAACCAAGCGGCUUCGGUCGUUUUUUGUUGACUCAGAAUAACUAAGCUGAUCGCAUGGUCUUGUACCGGCGACGUGUCUUUCAAGUAUCUGCCUUAUCAACUUUCGAUGGUAGUGUAUCUGACUACCAUGGUUGUGACGGGUAACGGAGGAUAAGGGUUCGACUCCGGAGAAGGGGCCUGAGAAAUGGCCACUACGUCUAAGGAUGGCAGCAGGCGCGCAAAUUACCCACUCUCAGAACGAGGAGGUAGUGACGAAAAAUAACGAGGCCGUUCUCUAUGAGGCCGGUCAUCGGAAUGGGUACAAUCUAAACCCUUUAACGAGUAUCUAUGAGAGGGCAAGUCUGGUGCCAGCAGCCGCGGUAAUUCCAGCUCUCAAAAUGCAUAGAAUUAUUGCUGCGGUUAAAAAGCUCGUAGUUGGAUCUGUGCCAGGAGAGCGGUCCACUUUCGGGUGGUACUGCUACGACUGGCUUUUUGCUGGUUUUCUCGUCGUAGUCUUAACCGAUUGCGGCGGGUGGCUGGCGAUUUUACUUUGAACAAAUCAGAGUGCUUAACACAGGCGUUUCGCUUGAAUGUUCUUGCAUGGAAUAAUAGAAAAGGAUUUCGGUUCUAUUUUAUUGGUUUUAUAGACUGAGAUAAUGGUUAACAGAGACAAACGGGGGCAUUCGUAUUGCUGCGUGAGAGGUGAAAUUCUUGGACCGCAGCAAGACGAACUACAGCGAAAGCAUUUGCCAAGAAUGUCUUCAUUAAUCAAGAACGAAAGUCAGAGGUUCGAAGGCGAUCAGAUACCGCCCUAGUUCUGACCGUAAACGAUGCCAACUAGCGAUCCGCCGGUGGAUAUUUUGCCCUGGUGGGGAGCUUCCCGGAAACGAAAGUCUUCCGGUUCCGGGGGAAGUAUGGUUGCAAAGCUGAAACUUAAAGGAAUUGACGGAAGGGCACCACCAGGAGUGGAGCCUGCGGCUUAAUUUGACUCAACACGGGAAAACUCACCCGGCCCGGACACCGUAAGGAUUGACAGAUUGAUAGCUUUUUCAUGAUUCGGUGGAUGGUGGUGCAUGGCCGUUCUUAGUUCGUGGAGCGAUUUGUCUGGUUUAUUCCGAUAACGAGCGAGACUCUAGCCUACUAAAUAGUUCGCACAUUGCUU